UAACAACAUAACUUUAAGUCGUGCUACAACAAAGUUUUUUAAGCCAUGUAGGAUUUUUGAAACCAAAUGGUUAGAUAAAAAGAAUGAUGGUAUAAAGGUAAGGAGUGUUACUAUCCAAAAAGAACAGUUAUUUUUAAUAGGGUUAAAAGAAAAAUAGAACCACCCAAUCACAAACGUUUAUCAUCUUUUCUCUUUCACUCUCCUCUCGCUGCACAGGUGUGACGAGGCUUUCUUGGCGAUGCUUCUAGCGACUUUGAUGGAAAUGGUUUUGGCGAGGAUAGCGAGAUGGAGGCGAGUCUCUAGCCACUCCCUCAAGCCUAAAUCUAAAUCUGAAUUUCAUAAAACUGGUAUCAUCUAUUCUUUUCUUCCAUAUUUUUAAGUAUGUGGUUAUUUUUUAUAUUUUAUUUAAGAGAAAUUAAAUAUACUUUUAUUCAAGGUUCUAAAUAACGUAAGGCGUGACUUGGCGGCAAUGUCAAGCCUCAAGCUUUUCCGAGCCUUGGCGAUACAUGACGUUUGUAAGGCGUGACUUAAGGCAGCAAUUUUUUAUAUAAAUAAUAUUUUUAUAUGUAUUUUCAGUUAUUAUUCA
rnacentral:lncRNA from 1 species